AUUGAACGCUGGCGGCAUGCCUUACACAUGCAAGUCGAACGGCAGCACGGGAGCAACCCUGGUGGCGAGUGGCGAACGGGUGAGUAAUAUAUCGGAACGUGCCUAGUAGUGGGGGAUAACUACUCGAAAGAGUGGCUAAUACCGCAUGAGAUCUACGGAUGAAAGCAGGGGAUCGCAAGACCUUGUGCUACUAGAGCGGCCGAUGGGAGAUUAGGUAGUUGGUGGGAUAAAAGCUUACCAAGCCGACGAUCUGUAGCUGGUUUGAGAGGACGAUCAGCCACACUGGGACUGAGACACGGCCCAGACUCCUACGGGAGGCAGCAGUGGGGAAUUUUGGACAAUGGGCGCAAGCCUGAUCCAGCAAUGCCGCGUGCAGGAUGAAGGCCUUCGGGUUGUAAACUGCUUUUGUACGGAACGAAAAGCCCUGGGUUAAUACCCUGGGGUCAUGACGGUACCGUAAGAAUAAGCACCGGCUAACUACGUGCCAGCCGCCGCAGUAAUAC
rnacentral:rRNA from 1 species